rnacentral:rRNA from 1 species
UGGGGAAUAUUGGACAAUGGGCGAAAGCCUGAUCCAGCAACGCCGCGUGAGGGAUGACGGCCUUCGGGUUGUAAACCUCUUUCAGCAGGGACGAAGCGAAAGUGACGGUACCUGCAAAAGAAGCACCGGCCAACUACGUGCCAGCAGCCGCGGUAAUACGUAGGGUGCAAGCGUUGUCCGGAAUUAUUGGGCGUAAAGGGCUCGUAGGCGGUCCAUCGCGUCGGGAGUGAAAAGCUGGGGCUUAACCCCAGUCCUGCUUUCGAUACGGGUGGACUAGAGGUAGGCAGGGGAGAACGGAAUUCCUGGUGUAGCGGUGAAAUGCGCAGAUAUCAGGAGGAACACCGGUGGCGAAGGCGGUUCUCUGGGCCUUACCUGACGCUGAGGAGCGAAAGCGUGGGGAGCAAACA